rfam:Tursiops truncatus cont1.152532, whole genome shotgun sequence.
UUCUUUGUUCAUUGUCAGCUGCUUUUAUCAAAUUCCAGGCCAUUAUCCAGCAAACACUAGAGAAAUUUGAACACCUGGAUUUCAAACAUUUUUUUCAGUUUGUGGAGUGGUGCUACCAGUGGUACCGUUCUAAGCAAGCAGGCA